GUGCUUGUUUCAGCAGCACAUAUACUAAAAUUGGAAUAAUACAGAGAAGAUUUGCAUGGCCCCUGUGCAAGGAUGACAUGCAAGUUCAUGAAGCGUUCCAUAUUUUU